rnacentral:rRNA from 1 species
UACGAAGGGGCUAGCGUUACUCGGAUUGACUGGGCGUAAAGGGCGCGUAGGCGGUUUGUACAGUCAGACGUGAAAUUCCUGGGCUCAACCUGGGGGCUGCGUUUGAUACGUGCAGACUUGAGUUCGGAAGAGGGUCGUGGAAUUCCCAGUGGUAGAGGUGAAAUUCGUAGAUAUUGGGAAGAACACCGGUGGCGAAGGCGGCGACCUGGUCCGAUACUGACGCUGAGGCGCGAAAGCGUGGGGAGCAAACAGG